GGAGGCUGGUCAGCACUCGUGCAAAAUUGGUCCCUGCAGCCGUGGCUGGAAGAAGAGAAAGCUAAGGCUGACGGAUCUGAGCAGUGCACAAGUGUCUGAGGCACCGUAUAGUCCUUUCAGUACAAACGGGAAAAGAUUUUGAUAAAAUUCAACUAUUCAUAAUUUUAAAAAAAUUUUUUUGAGGAAGAUUAGCCCUGAGCUAACAUCUGCUGCCAAUCCUCCUCUUUUUGCUGAGGAAGACUGGCCCUGAGCUAACAUCCGAGCCCAUCUUCCUAUACUUUAUAUAUGGGACGCCUACCACAGCAUGGCUUUUGCCAAGUGAUGUAAUGUCUGUACCCAGGAUCCAAACCGGCAGACCCUGGGCCGCCGAAGCAGAACAUGCGAACUUAACCGCUGCACCACCAGCAAUCUUUAAGGACACAUACUGAAGACGGCUGCAUCCUAAGAUGGAAGGAGACUGGGUCCCUGAAUGCCUGCCUGGGGCAGAAGCCCCCACAAGCCCUCUCGGGCCGAUCCCAUUGGUCUGGGACGGGAGACAGCAAUAUACCCAGUCUGUCAAGCUACUGGAAUUUUGGAGCUUGCAGAACUUAACCUAACUUAACAACUACUAUAUUUAUAAAUAAGUGACUUAUUCAAGUCAUAAGUAUUCUUUUGUGUGUAUGUAAUAGUACACAUGCAAACAUUUUUAAGAAUGGAUGAGAGGUAAGGAAGUGAAGGUAGUGAGCACAGACCUCUUUAAAGAAGCAGUUGUAUAAGAGGGACCAGAGAAAUGGCAUAGUAGCUGAAAGUGGGUAAAGGGUGGAGGGAAGGUGUUUUUAAAGCUGGGAAACGCUAGAGCAUGUCGGAUCCUGACAGGAAUGAUGGGAGGGAGACAGAGCGAAUGAGAAAGCGGGGAAGAAGAAAACUGCAGAAGGAAGGUCCUUGCAAAGGGGAGGAUGCUGCAGAGUGGAAGUAAUCCUUAAUGAGAACUGGAGCCCUCUUAGCCCCCCUGCUAAACGCCAGGCCCUGGGCUUGGAAAUUUACAUACGAAUUGCUCCUCUGGUCUCAGAGCUCCUUGUUGGAAGAUGGAGCUGCUGUAGAGAAAGAGCCGUUUGUGGCUCUAGACAGCACACCAGUGUAUCUGCACCCCGUGGGGGGCUCUGCACGUUUAUGCUUUCUAGUUUCAGCCGCAAGCUCAGUGCAAAGAUUUCUGUGCACACAGGACACCGCUGAGGUUAAGCUGGCACAGGCCCAGGCAGGAGGCAGCCGGUUAAUGAGGGCGGUUUAUCUUCCCGUGCCCACCCACUUGCAUAUCUGGGAAAUUUGCCUAUCUCGCUGGCUGAACUCAGAGCACUAGUCUCGUUAAUCCUCUUGGCCUUCCUGAUAACCAAGGUGUUAGCUGAUAACUACAAUGUUCUCAGAUAAGAACUUAAGGUAUUAUAGGCGAGGAAGUAGGGAAAGAGGCAACCCUGGGGCAGACAGGGAAAGGAAGGGAAGGCAGUGGGAGCCGGCAGCAACUUGUGUUUGAGUUCUCAUUCUGCCCCUUAAUAACCGUGAUGAUGAAGAAGCCGCUCAGCCUCUCCGGUGAUAAAGAUGAUGAAGCUCCCACCUUGUAAGGCACGGCUGAAGAGGGUGUGUACGUGAUCUGCAUCUACAAAGAACACCUGACUUAUUAAGAAAUCUCUACUCUUCGAGCCAAGAAAUGUUACCAAGGGCCCACAACGACCGGUGCAUCGGCCCUGCUUUUCUUCCUGAGCGGGACUCCUGGAAGACUGUGUCCCUUGGUGCUCUCCCCACUCAGAGAUUCCUCUGCUGCUCAGCAGGCAACAUAAGCCACACCCAACAGUAUCUUUUGUAUUUGUUAGCAUUUAUUGAGUGUUUACUGUGUGCCAUGCACGGCACCUAGUAUUUCCCCGCAUUGUCUCAACUGAUACGAUAACCGAAUCACCCAGGUAGCAUUUGCAUCCCUAUUUUAUACACAAGUAACCAAGCCUGGAGAACUGAAGAGUCCACCAGAGGUCAUAUGUCACCAAUGGUGAAACCUGGAUUUCAACCCAGGCCUUCAGACUCCAGAGACUGUGUGCUAACCCCUGGUAUACACUGCCUCCCCAAAGACUACUUACAGGGCCCUCCAAGUGCACAUGAAAGGGGACCUUCGGAGGCUUCUGUUGUUCCGAUUUGAGCAGGAAAGCAUGCACACGUUCAAUGGAAGUGCAAACUUUACAAGUAGCCC
rnacentral:lncRNA from 1 species